GUGGGGAAUCUUCCGCAAUGGACGAAAGUCUGACGGAGCAACGCCGCGUGAGUGAUGAAGGUCUUCGGAUUGUAAAGCUCUGUUAAUCGGGACGAAAGAGCCUAGUGUGAAUAAUGCUAGGAAGUGACGGUACCGGAAUAGAAAGUCACGGCUAACUACGUGCCAGCAGCCGCGGUAAUACGUAGGUGGCAAGCGUUGUCCGGAAUUAUUGGGCGUAAAGCGCGCGCAGGCGGAUCUGCCAGUCUGUCUUAAAAGUUCGGGGCUUAACCCCGUGAUGGGAUGGAAACUACAGAUCUAGAGUAUCGGAGAGGAAAGUGGAAUUCCUAGUGUAGCGGUGAAAUGCGUAGAUAUUAGGAAGAACACCAGUGGCGAAGGCGACUUUCUGGACGAAAACUGACGCUGAGGCGCGAAAGCCAGGGGAGCGAACGGGAUUAGAAACCCGGGUAGUCC
rnacentral:rRNA from 1 species